GGCUUAACACAUGCAAGUCGAGGGGUAGCAGGGAGCUUGCUCCGCUGACGACCGGCGAACGGGUGCGUAACGCGUAUAGAAUCUACCUCUUACUAAGGGAUAGCCCAGAGAAAUUUGGAUUAAUAUCUUAUAGUAUACAGACCUGGCAUCAGGAUUGUAUUAAAGGUUACGGUAAGAGAUGACUAUGCGUCCUAUUAGCUAGAUGGUGUGGUAACGGCACACCAUGGCUACGAUAGGUAGGGGCCCUGAGAGGGGGAUCCCCCACACUGGUACUGAGACACGGACCAGACUCCUACGGGAGGCAGCAGUGAGGAAUAUUGGACAAUGGAGGCAACUCUGAUCCAGCCAUGCCGCGUGCAGGAAGACUGCCCUAUGGGUUGUAAACUGCUUUUAUACAGGAAGAAACACUCUCACGUGUGAGAGCUUGACGGUACUGUAAGAAUAAGGAUCGGCUAACUCCGUGCCAGCAGCCGCGGUAAUACGGAGGAUCCAAGCGUUAUCCGGAAUCAUUGGGUUUAAAGGGUCCGUAGGUGGAUGAUUAAGUCAGAGGUGAAAUCCUGCAGCUCAACUGUAGAAUUGCCUUUGAUACUGGUUGUCUUGAGUUAUUAUGAAGUAGUUAGAAUAUGUAGUGUAGCGGUGAAAUGCAUAGAUAUUACAUAGAAUACCAAUUGCGAAGGCAGAUUACUAAUAAUAUACUGACACUGAUGGACGAAAGCGUGGGGAGCGAACAGGAUUAGAUACCCUGGUAGUCCACGCCGUAAACGAUGGUCACUAGCUGUUCGGACUUCGGUUUGAGUGGCUAAGCGAAAGUGAUAAGUGACC
rnacentral:rRNA from 1 species